rnacentral:lncRNA from 1 species
AUGCUCCCUCCCUGCCAACCCUCAGCUGCCCGUUGCAAGCCUCGCGCCCAGGCCCUGAGCCCGCAUGUCUGGCGGCCAAGGGCAUAUGGAACCAGUGAACGAGGAGGUAACAGUUCUGGCCGUCAGGAUGUGGGCCUAUCUUUUGGGGCCACCGUCCAGCCCAGUACACUAUCCACGCUGCUCCUUGGGGGACAUGAGCAGACCAUCUUGCCUGGUACAGAAGAAUCCAGCCGGGGGCAGGGCUGUGGAGACCUCGAAUUCAAAAAGAUGCCCCUACGUGUCCCGGCAGCCGCCCCGGGCCCCAUCGCAAAGCCAGGUGAGUUUCCAGCGGCAGAUGCGGACAGAGGGAGGAGGGCAGCUACCUGCCCCGCGGGUGAGGACCCCCCAUGCUGUCACGUGGCCGGGGACAGGGCCCAGCACGGUAGGCGAGGGCUGUUUCUGGCACCUAGAACUGGGGAGACGGGACUGCGUGGGAGAACCUUCCUCUCCUUCCUUGGCCCUCCCCUGUGCCUACUGGCGCUGGCUGUCCCAGUCCCUCCCCUGGCCCCCGCUUCCUGCCCCCCACGCUUUGCUCCGGCCUCUCUCGUCCCGCCCCCAGUGACCAAAGCCCCCUUUCUCUCCCCGCCGCUGGUCCCAGGGCUGAGUCACUCAACCCACUCACGCGAGGGACACGGACCGGUCCUUGCCUCCGCCUCCCUCAUAGGGAAGGUCUUUAAAAAGGACCCCACUUUAUCAGGGAGAAGCCGGCAGCACCCGCCUCCCCUCGUCCAUCCCCUUCCUGUCUGGGAAGGAUGCCAGGUGGCUGCUGUCCCGAGUCUGACGGCCUGGAACCCCCAGAACGCGGGACCGGAAGAUCGGCCGUCGGCACCCAAGCUGCACACAGCUUCUCACCCCCACCGGCCACGUGAGACAGUCCUCGUGGGGCCCGUGGCCAGCCGUGCUCUCUGGGUGACGCCGCAUCGGCCCACAGAGCCCUCGCCUGAUCCAAACGCACAAAUGUGGAAGAAACCCCCAAAUUUCAGGAGCUCAAAGGGAGCCUC